CUGCCAAGAUUUUAAUGAAUUGCUUCAGAUAUUCUCUCUUGUGGUUUCCACUGUGCUUAGAAAUCUGAAGGAAAAAAAAAAAUCUACGUACAGAACACAUGGCAGUUGGACCUUAAAAAUCUGCUACACACACAAAUAUCUGUUAUACAUUUCUUUUUAAAUGGGUGUGGCCAGUGGGAACCUCCUUCACAUGUCCUGACAUGUUGCCAUCAUUCUUGGAGCACAUUAUUGCCUUCUGGCUCUAAGAGAUGUUUCCAGCUCAUCUUCUUCCUUCUCGUACCAGACAGGUGGACAGCAUGUGAUCACCAUAGACUCCCGCUACAGUGAAGGCAGAUGCCGAUUUGACCUUUAACAUGAUUGGUGCAACUAUGGCAUAUUAU